rnacentral:rRNA from 1 species
UACGUAGGGUGCAAGCGUUGUCCGGAAUUAUUGGGCGUAAAGAGCUCGUAGGCGGUUUGUCGCGUCGAAUGUGAAAACCCGGGGCUCAACCCCGGGCCUGCAUUCGAUACGGGCAGACUAGAGUUCGGUAGGGGAGUCUGGAAUUCCUGGUGUAGCGGCGAAAUGCGCAGAUAUCAGGAGGAACACCGGUGGCGAAGGCGGGACUCUGGGCCGAUACUGACGCUGAGGAGCGAAAGCGUGGGGAGCGAACAGG